rnacentral:rRNA from 1 species
AUUGAACGCUGGCGGCAGGCCUAACACAUGCAAGUCGAACGAGUGGCGGACGGGUGAGUGAUGUCUGGGAAACUGCCUGAUGGAGGGGGAUAACUACUGGAAACGGUAGCUAAUACCGCAUACCAUCAGAUGUGCCCAGAUGGGAUUAGCUGGUUGGUGGGGUAACGGCUCACCAAGGCGACGAUCCCUAGCUGGUCUUCGAGGAUGACCAGCCAAACUGGAACGGAGACACUGGCCAUACUCCUACGGAGGGCAGCAUUGGGGAAUAUUGCACAAGGGGCGCAAGCCUGAUGCAGCCAUGCCGCGUGUAUGAAGAAGGCCUUCGGGUUGUAAAGUACUUUCAGCGGGGAGGCGUUACCCGCAGAAGAAGCACCGGCUAACUCCGUGACAGCAGCCGCGGUAAUUC